CGUUCAAAACACCGAUCUCUGUACGAUCACCGAAGUUAAGAAACGUGGUACCUGGUUAGUACCUAUAUGGGUGACCGCUUGGGAAUACCAGAUGCUGUAAU